UAGGGAAUCUUCGGCAAUGGGGGGAACCCUGACAGAGCAACGCCGCGUGAGUGAAGAAGGUUUUCGGAUCGUAAAGCUCUGUUGUUAAGGAAGAACGAGUGUGAGAAUGGAAAGUUCAUGCUGUGACGGUACUUAACCAGAAAGGGACGGCUAACUACGUGCCAGCAGCCGCGGUAAUACGUAGGUCCCGAGCGUUGUCCGGAUUUAUUGGGCGUAAAGCGAGCGCAGGCGGUUAGAAAAGUCUGAAGUGAAAGGCAGUGGCUCAACCAUUGUAGGCUUUGGAAACUGUUUAACUUGAGUGCAGAAGGGGAGAGUGAAAUUCCAUGUGUAGCGGUGAAAUGCGUAGAUAUAUGGGGGAACACGGGUGGCGAGAGCGGCUCUCUGGUCUGUAACUGGCGCUGGGGCUCGAAAGCGUGGGGAGCGAACAGG
rnacentral:rRNA from 1 species